rnacentral:rRNA from 1 species
AUACGAAGGGGGCAAGCGUUGUUCGGAAUAACUGGGCGUAAAGCGUACGUAGGCGGACUAUUAAGUUGGGGGUGAAAUCCCAGGGCUCAACCCUGGAACUGCCCUCAAAACUGGUAGUCUUGAGAUUGAGAGAGGUAAGUGGAAUUCCGAGUGUAGAGGUGAAAUUCGUAGAUAUUCGGAGGAACACCAGAGGCGAAGGCGGCUUACUGGAUCAAUACUGACGCUGAGGCACGAAAGUGUGGGGAGCAAACAGGAUUAGAAACCCUAGUAGUCC